UAAUUAAAGCUUGCAUGGGACUGACUAAA
rnacentral:piRNA from 1 species